rnacentral:rRNA from 1 species
GACGAACGCUGGCGGCGUGCUUAACACAUGCAAGUCGAGCGGUAAGGCCCUUUCGGGGGUACGACGAGCGGCGAACGGGUGAGUAACACGUGGGUGACCUGCCCUCAGCUCUGGGAUAAGCCUGGGAAACCGGGUCUAAUACUGGAUAUGACUCCAUGACGCAUGUUGUGGGGUGGAAAGCCUUGUGCGGCUGAGGAUGGGCCCGCGGCCUAUCAGCUUGUUGGUGGGGUGAUGGCCUACCAAGGCGACGACGGGUAGCCGGCCUGAGAGGGCGACCGGCCACACUGGGACUGAGACACGGCCCAGACUCCUACGGAGGCAGCAGUGGGGAAUCUUGCGCAAUGAGCGAAAGCCUGACGCAGCGACGCCGCGUGAGGGAUGACGGCCUGG